GACGAACGCUGGCGGCGCGCCUAACACAUGCAAGUCGAACGGGACUAUACGAGAUGAAGUUUUCGGAUGGAAUUUUGGAUAGUUUAGUGGCGGACGGGUGAGUAACACGUGAGCAACCUGCCUUCGAGAGGGGAAUAACGGCUGGAAACGGUCGCUAAUACCGCAUAACAUACAGGAGGGACAUCCCUUUUGUAUCAAAGAUUUAUCGCUCGAAGAUGGGCUCGCGUCCGAUUAGGUAGUUGGUGAGGUAACGGCCCACCAAGCCGACGAUCGGUAGCCGGACUGAGAGGUUGAACGGCCACAUUGGGACUGAGACACGGCCCAG
rnacentral:rRNA from 1 species